GGGUGAACCACACUGAUGAACGAUGCUAAGCGGGAUCCCAUAGGAGACUGUUAACCGAGAGAGGAACUUUGCUUGUGGCUGUGCGGUGACUGCGUUAGGCGCAUCCGUGCAAGGCGAUGAGAACCCGGGUGGAAGGUCGUCUUGGACACCUGUCAUGGUUCGUUGCUCUUUGGAAGUAGACGGCUGGUCCCAUCUGCUUUUACGCUUGCGUCCAUUUGUCUCAGGAAGGCUGGAGGAAGUAGGUUGUAUGCACCCGUCAGAUACAGAAGGUGUUUCGGGAGUUGCAGCCCUUGAGGAAAACGGUUCUGCACGUCUUGGCGAAUGAUGAUCAUAUCUAGGUUCUUGUGAUGAUCUGAAUCUGCUGUUUAUAGGUGAUCUUCUAGACUCCGAUCUCUCUUCUCUGUCGAUGCGCCAAGGUUUUCUUAAAUGCUUAGGGAUAAAUCUGUCUCGGAAGUUCCUCGCAAUUUGAUGCACCUGCAGGCAUACACAUGAAACCAGUUGGAAACUAGAAGGUAUAACAAAUAGAUAAAGAUGAAAUGUCAAUGGUGCUCAAGAGUUCAGGAUUCAAUAGAAUUCAUAAGGGGUAUAUGGGACGCUAGGUACCUGUUUGUCAUCAUGCUCGGUGAGUGUUAGAAUAGACUGCUUGAAGCUGCACAGAGAUAAACAUGAAAUGUCAUAAAAUUAUCAAGUAAAAGAAAAAAAGAGACGCAGGCGACAUAGCCUUGAUUAAAAUUUACGAACCUUUCCAUCCCUGCAUAAGGAGGUGGUCUGACUAUAUGCUCCAGUGCAAGAAUAUCCCUUGUAGCAAGAUACUCUAAUACCUGAAGCAAAGCAAGUGAUAUUGAUAGUAAGCAACCUAAAAUUUAAGAACGUAUUAGCUAGAAAAUCAUAAAACUCUUUGGUAUUUAUUCACUUUGCACAGUCAUUUCAUACCAUAUUUAAUGAAUAUUUCACAUUGGUUAAGAUGAAAGAAGAACUGCCUUUGGGUUGGAAUUAACAUUUAACUAAAAAGUGCCAAGUGUGGUCUGGCCAGUAUAUAAACAGAAGCAGCAGGUAACAAGGGAUGUACCUUCAAAAGUUUUCGGAGUAUUGGGGUCUUUUUAAAAUCCCUCCGAUAUUGUUUCAUGAUAUUGUGUAACAUUUGCAGACCUGGAUGUGUUUGGAGGUUAAUUCAUACAAUAAAGGAAAAGGACAGGCUUAGGUACCAUACUAAAAGAAGUUAAUUGCUCUUUGGAAGUAGACGGCUGGUCCCAUCUGCUUUUACGCUUGCGUCCAUUUGUCUCAGGAAGGCUGGAGGAAGUAGGUUGUAUGCACCCGUCAGAUACAGAAGGUGUUUCGGGAGUUGCAGCCCUUGAGGAAAACGGUUCUGCACGUCUUGGCGAAUGAUGAUCAUAUCUAGGUUCUUGUGAUGAUCUGAAUCUGCUGUUUAUAGGUGAUCUUCUAGACUCCGAUCUCUCUUCUCUGUCGAUGCGCCAAGGUUUUCUUAAAUGCUUAGGGAUAAAUCUGUCUCGGAAGUUCCUCGCAAUUUGAUGCACCUGC
rnacentral:lncRNA from 1 species